rnacentral:sRNA from 1 species
CGGCGCGCGGUGCGCGCCCUUCCUAGCGCGCCGCCGGUAGCUGUUGGGGUCGGCGGCGGAGGCGGCCGGCACCGACCGCGCCGCGGCGGCGGCGAAGGCGAGGAUGUUGGCGGCGGCCUCCUGAUCCUCUUCCUUGUCGCCUCUAGCCACCCGGCGUCCUCCUCUCCUAGCGUGGCCGGCGGCCGGCGGCCGGAGCUCUGACCUUGCAGCCGAGGGAGCAGAAGCGGAAGGCGACGUCGAGGAGGCCGCGGCCGCACGCCUCGCAGGCGGCGCACGCCACGGCGGCGGCGGCGGCGCACCGGCCGUUGCGCGGCGCCUGCGGGCGCUCGUUGAGGAAGACGACCCUGUCGCGGUUGAUGACGUAGGUCUGCACCCGCGUCAGGUCCAGCGUGCGCUCCAGCUCCGACACGCGCACCACGUUGUGGUACGACGACCUCCGCACCUGGACCACCCGGUGGCGGUGGCCGCGAUCCCGCCCCGCGCCGCCGCCGUGCGCCGCCACCACGCACCACUGGCACCCCACGGCGGCCGCGCCGCCGGCGUCGUCGGCGGCCGCGGCGCAGGUGAGGCAGUACUGGUUGCACUCGUUCCUGCUCAUGCCGCGGUGCGCCGCGCACGCCUCGAAGAACCGCGCGCCGAGCAGCGACCGCAGCCACGCCGGCUCCCGCUCCGCCAACCCAGCAGCCAUCGCCGCGUCCGCCGCCGCCGCC